rnacentral:rRNA from 1 species
CGGCUCAGUAACACGUGGAUAACCUACCCUCAGAUCUGGGAUAACUCCGGGAAACUGGAGAUAAUACCGGAUAAUCCGUGAACGCUGGAAUGCCUUACGGUUGAAAGCUUUAGCGUCUGAGGAUGGGUCUGCGGCCGAUUAGGUAGUUGCUGGGGUAACGUCCCAACAAGCCGAUAAUCGGUACGGGUUGUGAGAGCAAGAGCCCGGAGAUGGAUUCUGAGACACGAAUCCAGGUCCUACGGGGCGCAGCAGGCGCGAAAACUUUACACUGCGCGAAAGCGCGAUAAGGGGACCUCGAGUGCGUGCGCAAAGCGUACGCUUUUCAGAUGCCUAAAAAGCAUCUGGAAUAAGGGCCGGGCAAGACCGGUGCCAGCCGCCGCGGUAACACCGGCGGCUCAAGUGGUGGCCGCUAUUAUUGGGCUUAAAGGGUCCAUAGCCGGACCAGUUAGUCCCUUGGGAAAUCUUACGGCUUAACCGUAAGGCUGCCAAUGGAUACUGCUGGUCUUGGGACCGGGAGAGGCAAGAGGUACCUCAGGGGUAGGAGUGAAAUCCUGUAAUCCUUGAGGGACCGCCAGUGGCGAAGGCGUCUUGCUAGAACGGGUC